GGUUGCGAUCAUACCAGCACUAAUGCACCAGAUCCCAUCAGAACUUUGCAGUUAAGCGUGCUGGGGCGAGAGUAGUACUAGGAUGGGUGACCCCCUGGGAAGUCCUCGUGUUGCAACCC
rnacentral:rRNA from 1 species